GGCGUUAAGUUGCAGGGUAUAGACCCGAAACCCGGUGAUCUAGCCAUGGGCAGGUUGAAGGUUGGGUAACACUAACUGGAGGACCGAACCGACUAAUGUUGAAAAAUUAGCGGAUGACCUGUGGCUGGGGGUGAAAGGCCAAUCAAACCGGGAGAUAGCUGGUUCUCCCCGAAAGCUAUUUAGGUAGCGCCUCGUGAAUUCAUCUCCGGGGGUAGAGCACUGUUUCGGCUAGGGGGCCAUCCCGGCUUACCAACCCGAUGCAAACUGCGAAUACCGGAGAAUGUUAUCACGGGAGACACACGGCGGGUGCUAACGUCCGUCGUGAAGAGGGAAACAACCCAGACCGCCAGCUAAGGUCCCAAAGUCAUGGUUAAGUGGGAAACGAUGUGGGAAGGCCCAGACAGCCAGGAUGUUGGCUUAGAAGCAGCCAUCAUUUAAAGAAAGCGUAAUAGCUCACUGGUCGAGUCGGCCUGCGCGGAAGAUGUAACGGGGCUAAACCAUGCACCGAAGCUGCGGCAGCGACACUGUGUGUUGUUGGGUAGGGGAG
rnacentral:rRNA from 1 species